rnacentral:lncRNA from 1 species
CGAGAAAAUGCGAACUCUAGAAAUGCCCCCACCAGUACGUAUGCCAGACAAAGAAAAAAUGGCCUUCGUUAUCGACAAUUACGCCAAAUAUAGAAGAGACGAAAUCAUAAGAAAGGAAUAUAUUAGAUGUGUUGCCUAUACAUACUCGGCAAGAACAGAUUUAUGAUUUGAAUGUAUUCCGUUUUUAUGGAUUUGAAUGCGGUACAUAUAUUUUUAAUUCGUCAUUUUAGUAUAAACAAAGUGCUUUUAUCUUAGGUUUUUAUUUCUUGAUUUUAAGCAGGAGACAA